rnacentral:rRNA from 1 species
UACGAGGGGGGCAAAUGUUGUUCGGAAUCACUGGGCGUAAAGGGAGCGUAGGCGGGUUUUUAAGUCAGGUGUUUAAUCCCGGGGCCCAACCCCGGACAGGCGCUUGAAACUGGGAAUCUUGAAUAGGGGAGAGGUCAGUGGAAUUGGAGGUGUAGCGGUGGAAUGCGUAGAGAUCUCCAAGAACACCAGUUGCGAAGGCGGCUGACUGGACCCAUACUGACGCUGAGACUCGAAAGCAUGGGGAGCAGACAGG